GAAACUAUACUUUAUAUAGAAGACUUAAUUUGCAGUUAAGUAGAGGUUACCCUAGUUUCA
rnacentral:tRNA from 1 species